rnacentral:sRNA from 10 species
AGCGGCACCGAGAGAGCAACUCGGGAGCUGGUAGAAACCAGUCCCUACGGCGUCCUAAGGGUCCGUAGGGACUGUUUUGCGCCUUCAUGUCGUCUUCCGAUAACAAGAAAGAUUCCGUAGUUUGCAGCUUGUAUCGAGAUCGUUCGUCAGGCUUUAAGAGCGGAGUCGAAUCGCUCGGGAGACAUUGGCGAGACCGAUGUCACUCUCGGCUCCGCAGUCAGC